rnacentral:rRNA from 1 species
AUGUUUAAAGGCCAUGUGAGCGAGCCCACUAUGAUCUUGGAAGCAGUUGCUUCACAAGAUCUUUGGAUUUGGCAUGCUUAUUUUGGUUUACCAGGGUCUCUGAAUGAUAUAAAUGUUCUUCAACGUUCUCCUGUUUUUACAAAGCUAGCCGAAGGCCAAAUUCCUCCAGUGAAUUAUAGCAUCAAUGGCCAUCAGUACACAAUGGGGUAUUACCUUGCAGAUGGUAUCUAUCCACGGUGGGCAACAUUUGUGAAGAGCAUACCAGCUCCAACUAGCAGAAAGCAUAAAACUUUUGCCAAGAAGCAAGAGGGGGCUAGGAAAGAUGUGGAACGAGCCUUUGGAGUUCUGCAAUCCCGUUUUGCCAUUGUUCGUGGACCUGCUAAAGGAUGGAAACGUAAAGAAAUCACUGAUGUCAUGAAAGCUUGUGUCAUAAUGCACAAUAUGAUAGUUGAAGAGGAGCGACAAACUGAUCGGCGAAGCUGUACUUUUGAGGCAAUGGGAGAAAGAGUCACAGUCUCUCGUACUCAUGCGGAAGAACUGAGCUCUUUUAUUCAGAUGAUUCAUCGGAUUAGAAAUUUCGAUGAACAUGAUCAGCUUAAACUUGAUCUAAUUAACCAUGUGUGGCAAAAGUUUGGAAACGAGUAA